CAUUUGGUUAAGCUCAGCACGAGGAACUUCCGUUUUCUUAUCUUGAACAUCAUGUACUGUUCCAGCCCACAGCCAGCCACCCAGGAAGGAAGCAUUUUGUUCCUUUUAGACAGGGGGUCUGGCCAGCCAUAUGGCCAUGUUGUCGAAAGGCUCUAUCCUUUAUAUAUUGAAAGAAGAAAGUAGAACCAUUUCUGGGUCCCAGCUGUGGGAAGAGCUCCUGUGGCUGUGAAUUCUGACUUCUGGGUCUUGGCACAAGGUGUGGCCAGCAAGCUAAGCUGUCCUGAGGGUGUGCAGGGCCAGGGGCUGAAGACAGUGUUGGAGCAUCCACAGACUGGUUUGUCUCAAGAAGCAUGUUACUAAAUAUGAAAUAGCAAAAUCUGCAAGUGGGUUUACUUUUCCCCCAUAGAUUAGAAUGGAUUCAAUAUUAUCUCUUUAUUAGCGUCACUUUUAAUCACUUGUAUAACAAGUAGGACAGAAAGGUGGCUUGAAAGUCAAUCAUGUGAGAAUUCCAGAUAAAUUGACUUUGCUCACAACAAUCUGUUAUUCAUGUGACUAUCAACUGUCAUGUGUGCUGGGGCAAAAAAAGAAGAUAAGGAUUCACUGGUAUCAGAUAGUUCCAGGAGGGGAAACCCAGGAUUGAACUUUUUCAGCCUUCUAUGGUAAAAUUUCCUGCUCUGUCGGUGCGCCAAAGCUUUUUUCAGUUUCCUAAACUCCCAUAUUCAAGAAGAUAAGCUAUUUUCUCUUCUUUCUCAUCCUUCCUUGACAAAGCAAAGCAUAUUUUCAUUGUCUACUCUGUGUCAUCCAUGCUUGGUUCCUGUCCUCAAAGAGCUUAUAGUUCAAAUAAAGGAGAGGGAGCAUUUUACAAGGGAAUUAAAGGUAAAAGAUUCUGAAAGCCAGUUUAAAAAGUCGUGAGGGAGGGGUCUGGGAGAAGCUGAGCAGGGGUGAAAGGGUACGAAACAUUAUGGAAGGAGAACAGGGGAGCACCCUGACUACUGGGUGGAAACACCAAUCAGUGGGUAGAAACCACACAGUGGUAACACUGAUCAGUGGGUAGAAAACAAUGACAGCAGGUAUAUGAGGCAUGGAACACUUGGCUUAUUGUAAAGUUUUCAAAAUAUGCAGUCCUUUCUAUCCACCAGGGGUUGGGAGUUGUCUUUGUAUAUCAACCGUGGAAGGGCUGUUUUGGUUCAUCAUUCUGUGGUCUACCUGGGUAGACCUGAUGCAGCCGUGUUUCUGAGGAAAGGAAGAACAGCUUUUGUUUUGUGAUAUGUAAUGGUAGAUGUAGUGCCAUGGAAUGAUGCAGAUUUCAUUCAGAUAUUCUUGGAUCUUGGCCCCAGGACUCACUCAUUCUUCCCUAUAUGAGCAUUGGUAGUUACAGGUUUUAUCCUUCCUUUAAUUGUAAGUCUUUUGAAGCCAAAAACUGUAUCCAAUUUGUCACUGUCUCCUAACAGUACUUAGCAGUGUCUGAUGCAUCAUAGGGAGUUUGUAAAUGUUUGGAUAAAUAAAGGGAAAACAAAAACAACCACAAAAAAA
ensembl:lncRNA LINC03007 long intergenic non-protein coding RNA 3007